rnacentral:rRNA from 1 species
UACACAUGCAAGUCGAACGGUAACAGGUCUUCGGAUGCUGACGAGUGGCGAACGGGUGAGUAAUACAUCGGAACGUGCCCAGUAAUGGGGGAUAGCUCGGCGAAAGCCGGAUUAAUACCGCAUACGCCCUGAGGGGGAAAGUGGGGGAUCGCAAGACCUCACGUUAUUGGAGCGGCCGAUGGCUGAUUAGCUAGUUGGUAGGGUAAAGGCCUACCAAGGCGACGAUCAGUAGCUGGUCUGAGAGGACGAUCAGCCACACUGGGACUGAGACACGGCCCAGACUCCUACGGGAGGCAGCAGUGGGGAAUUUUGGACAAUGGGGGAAACCCUGAUCCAGCAAUGCCGCGUGUGCGAAGAAGGCCUUCGGGUUGUAAAGCACUUUUGUCAGGGAAGAAAUCCUUUGGGCUAAUACCCUAGGGGGAUGGCGGUACCUGAAGAAUAAGCACCGGCUAACUACGUGCCAGCAGCCGCGGUAAUACGUAGGGUGCAAGCGUUAAUCGGAAUUACUGGGCGUAAAGCGUGCGCAGGCGGUUGUGUAAGACAGGUGUGAAAUCCCCGGGCUUAACCUGGGAAUUGCAUUUGUGACUGCACGACUAGAGUGUGUCAGAGGGGGGUGGAAUUCCA